CAGGAAUCGAACUUGGGACCUAGUGCUUACCAGGAUAUAGGGCCCCGUCUGAUUUGGUCAGUAGAGAAGCAGACAAACGAGCAGGUGAGCCUAAGUGGCCCGGAACACGGUUACAUAAAAACCUGAAGGAGGAGGCACAAGAAAGACAGUGCAGCCAAGAACAGAGGCCACCUUUGCUAAAUUCAUGAAACCCCUGCUUUGAUUGCCCAUGGGGAGAGAUCAACUGGAAAACGUGAGGAGCCAAGAUGGGAAACUCGAAGUCAGCCUCGAAUUCUUUUACUUCAUUGAAUUGUAUUCUUACACACUGGGAUUCUUUUGAUCCCCAAAGUUUAAAGAAAUGUUCCUUAAUCUUUUUCUGCACGUGUGCAUGGCCUACUUACCCUCUGGGUGAGAAAAGAUGGAGACCCGAGGGAAGUACUGAUUAUGACACUAUCCUCCAGCUGGAAUUAUUUUGUAAGAGACAGGGGAAAUGGUCAGAGGUCCCUGACGUUCAAAUUUUCUUCACUUUGACAGACAAUCUUGAUUUAUGCUCAAAGUGUGGGUGUGAUCAGAAAGAAAAUUGGGUGGCUUUAACUGGUAGAUCUGGUGUAUCCACCACCACCAGGCCUGAUGCUCCUCCCCUGCACCCUGCGGGCCCUGAAGCCCCUAAGCCACUGCAGAUGAAAGCUUCCAGCCCAUGGGCACACACGCCUUAUUCUCCCUCAGUGAUCUUAGACAAAUAAAACAAGAUUUAGGGAAAUUUUCAGGUGACCCUGAUGAGUACAUUGAGGUUUUUAGAGGACUUACUCAGUCUUUUUACUUAGCUUGGGAAAAUGUUAUGUUACUUUUAAACCAGACCCUGACCCCUGGUGAGAUGCAAGCGGCUUUGCAAGCUGCUAUAGCCUUUGGGGACGAGCUAUACCUCAGGUAUUCCAAAAGGCCAGAGGCCUUAGGACCAGGAGAACAGCCUUUCCUUACGGGAGCCCAGGCUGUCCCACAGCGGGAUCCCCAGUGGGACCCCAAUACUGCAGUGGGGGACUGGAACAGGAGACAUUUCCAAACUUGUGUUCUUGAGGGCCUGAGGAGAACCAGGUCCAAACCUCAGAACUAUUCUAAAUUGUCAACUAUCAGCCAAGGGAAGGAUGAGAAUCCCUCGGCCUUUUCAGAACGACUGCAAGCCGCUCUAAGUAUACGUCUUUGUCUCUUGAGUCAGAGGUG